GUGGGGAAUAUUGGACAAUGGGCGCAAGCCUGAUCCAGCAAUGCCGCGUGUGUGAAGAAGGUCUUCGGAUCGUAAAGCACUUUCGACGGGGACGAUGAUGACGGUACCCGUAGAAGAAGCCCCGGCUAACUUCGUGCCAGCAGCCGCGGUAAUACGAAGGGGGCUAGCGUUGCUCGGAAUUACUGGGCGUAAAGGGCGCGUAGGCGGCUCUGUGAGUCAGGCGUGAAAUUCCUGGGCUUAACCUGGGGACUGCGCUUGAUACUGCAGGGCUUGAGGCCGAGAGAGGGUGGUGGAAUUCCCAGUGUAGAGGUGAAAUUCGUAGAUAGUGGGAAGAACACCGGUGGCGAAGGCGACCACCUGGCUCGGUACUGACGCUGAGGCGCGACAGCGUGGGGAGCAAACAGGAUUAGAAACCCUGGUAGUCC
rnacentral:rRNA from 1 species